rnacentral:rRNA from 1 species
UACGGAGGGUGCAAGCGUUAUCCGGAUUCACUGGGUUUAAAGGGUGCGUAGGAGGGCAGGUAAGUCAGUGGUGAAAUCUCCAAGCUUAACUUGGAACUGCCGUUGAUACUAUCUGUCUUGAAUACCGUGGAGGUGAGCGGAAUAUGUCAUGUAGCGGUGAAAUGCUUAGAUAUGACAUAGAACACCAAUUGCGAAGGCAGCUUACUACACAACGAUUGACGCUGAGGCACGAAAGCGUGGGGAUCAAACAGGA